rnacentral:rRNA from 1 species
CUAAGGUUUCUUGAGGAAGGUUCGUCCGCUCAAGGUAAGCCGGGAGCUAAGGCGAGGCCGAGAGGCGUAGUCGAUGCACAUACGGUAAAGAUUCCGUAGCCACCGAAGUCGUUAAAUACAGGGACACAGGAACAUAGCCUAACCCCACCGUUGGUUGAGUGGGGCGUAAGGGAGCGAAAAUUAGUAGCGAAGUGGGUGAUUGUACACUGGCGAGAAAAGCUGUAUGAAUUGACAAGGUGCCCGUACCGCAAACCGACACAGGUAGAUGAGGAGAGAAUCCUAAGACCAGCGGGAGAAGUGUUGUUAAGGAACUCGGCAAAAUGACCCCGUAACUUCGGGAUAAGGGGAGCCUACGCGAGUAGGCCGCAGAGAAUAGUCUCAAGCGACUGUUUAGCAAAAACACAGGUCUAUGCUAAAUCGAAAGAUGAUGUAUAUGGGCUGACGCCUGCCCGGUGCUGGAAGGUUAAGGGGAAGUGUUAGAGCAAUCGAAGCACUGAACUUAAGCCCCAGUAAACGGCGGCCGUAACUAUAACGGUCCUAAGGUAGCGAAAUUCCUUGUCAGGUAAGUUCUGACCCGCACGAAUGGCGUAACGACUUGAGAGCUGUCUCAACAACAUACCCGGCGAAAUUGAAGUACUGGUAAAGAUGCCAGUUACCCGUGAUAAGACGGAAAGACCCCAUGGAGCUUUACUGUAACUUGAUAUUGAAUUUUUGUAUUACAUGUACAGGAUAGGUGGGAGACAGAGAACUAAUGCCGCCAGGUGUUAGGGAGUCGAUGUUGGGAUACCACUCUUGUAAUAUGAAGGUUCUAACCUGCACCCGUGAAUCCGGGUGGGGGACACUGUCAGGUGGACAGUUUGACUGGGGCGGUCGCCUCCUAAAAGGUAACGGAGGCGUUCAAAGGUUGGUUCAGCACGGACGGAAAUCGUGCAACGAGUGCAAACGCAUAAACCAGCCUAACUGCGAGACCGACAAGUCGAGCAGUAACGAAAGUUGGAGUUAGUGAUCCGGCGGUAUGAGAGUGGAAUUGCCGUCGCUCAACGGAUAAAAGCUACCCUGGGGAUAACAGGCUGAUCUCCCCCA